GACGAACGCUGGCGGCGUGCUUAACACAUGCAAGUCGAACGGAGGAUUUAUUUCGGUAAAUUCUUAGUGGCGAACGGGUGAGUAACGCGUGGGCAACCUGCCCUUCAGAUGGGGACAACAUCCCGAAAGGGGUGCUAAUACCGAAUACGAUCACGCUGCCGCAUGGCGGUGUGAUGAAAGAUGGCCUCUAUUUAUAAGCUAUCGCUGAAGGAUGGGCCUGCGUCUGAUUAGCUAGUUGGUGGGGUAACGGCCUACCAAGGCGAUGAUCAGUAGCCGGUCUGAGAGGAUGAACGGCCACAUUGGGAGUGAGACACGGCCCGAACUCCUACGGGAGGCAGCAGUGGGGAAUAUUCCGCAAUGGACGAAAGUCUGACGGAGCAACGCCGCGUGAGUGAUGAAGGUUUUCGGACUGUAAAGCUCUGUUGUUUAGGACGAAAGUGCCUGUUGCAAAUAGUUGCAGGUAUUGACGGUACUGAACGAGGAAGCCACGGCUAACUACGUGCCAGCCGCCGCGGUAAUAC
rnacentral:rRNA from 1 species